CAUACCUACGGGGCGCAGCAGUGAGGAAUAUUGGUCAAUGGACGCAAGUCUGAACCAGCCAUGCCGCGUGCAGGAUGACGGCUCUAUGAGUUGUAAACUGCUUUUGUACGAGGGUAAACCCCGAUACGUGUAUCGGGUUGAAAGUAUCGUACGAAUAAGGAUCGGCUAACUCCGUGCCAGCAGCCGCGGUAAUACGGAGGAUCCGAGCGUUAUCCGGAUUUAUUGGGUUUAAAGGGUGCGUAGGCGGGAUGUAAAGUCAGAUGUGAAAUGCCGCAGCUUAACUUCGGAGCUGCAUUUUAAACUUU
rnacentral:rRNA from 1 species